rnacentral:rRNA from 1 species
AACGAACGCUGGCGGCAUGCCUAACACAUGCAAGUCGAACGAGAUCUUCGGGUCUAGUGGCGCACGGGUGCGUAACGCGUGGGAAUCUGCCCUUUGGUUCGGAAUAACAGUUGGAAACGACUGCUAAUACCGGAUGAUGACGAAAGUCCAAAGAUUUAUCGCCAGAGGAUGAGCCCGCGUAGGAUUAGCUAGUUGGUGUGGUAAAGGCGCACCAAGGCGACGAUCCUUAGCUGGGCUGAGAGGAUGAACGGCCACAAGGGGACUGAGACACGGCCCAGACUCCUACGGGAGGCAGCAGUGGGGAAUAUUGAACAAUGGGCGAAAGCCUGAUCCAGCAAUGCCGCGUGAGUGAUGAAGGCCUUAGGGUUGUAAAGCUCUUUUACCCGGGAUGAUAAUGACAGUACCGGGAGAAUAAGCUCCGGCUAACUCCGUGCCAGCAGCCGCCGUAA